GACGAACGCUGGCGGCGUGCUUAACACAUGCAAGUCGAACGCGCCUGUCCUCUGGGUUUCUGGGGGGUGGGUGAGUGGCGAACGGGUGGGUAACACGUGAGUAACCUGCCCCCUUCUUCGGGAUAACGGUCUGAAAGGGCUGCUAAUACCGGGUAUUCACUGGUCUCCGCAUGGGGUCUGGUGGAAAGGUUUUUUUCUGGUGGGGGAUGGGCUCGCGGCCUAUCAGCUUGUUGGUGGGGUGAUGGCCCACCAAGGCUUUGACGGGUAGCCGGCCUGAGAGGGUGACCGGUCACAUUGGGACUGAGAUACGGCCCAGACUCCUACGGGAGGCAGCAGUGGGGAAUAUUGCACAAUGGGCGCAAGCCUGAUGCAGCGACGCCGCGUGAGGGAUGGAGGCCUUCGGGUUGUGAACCUCUUUCGCCCGUGGUCAAGCCGCGACGUGGGUCGUGGUGAGGGUAGUGGGUAAAGAAGCGCCGGCUAACUACGUG
rnacentral:rRNA from 1 species